CUCGUCCCAACCACUCUUCACAGCAACCAAAUCAUCGCCGGUCGAAAUGAAGGAAUCUUCAAUGCAGACAUUUGAGCUCGAAUCUAAGUCACAUAUUCAAGAGAUUCCAAACUGUCAGUAGGCUUUGAUGUUUAUUCCUUAAGAGGCUGAUAAUGUUCGAGAAGGAUUCAUACCAGGAUCUACUCCGUCAGUGUUCGGAGAGUCAUAUGGAGCCAACACUGUCACAAGCUUUAUUACUACAUUGCUGCAAGAAAUGUAUGGUUACCUGCAGUAAACAGGAUGAAUGUUCCAAAAAGGAGAGUUGAGAAACACCACAUUAGAAA